UACGAGAGCCUCAAGCGUUAUCCGGAAUUAUUGGGCGUAAAGGGUGCGUAGGUGGUUAUAUUAGUCGUAUGUUAAAGACUCGGGCUUAACCCGAGGAAUGCAUACGAAACGGUAUGACUAGAGAAUGUGAGAGGUGUAUGGAACUCAUGGUGUAGGGGUGAAAUCCGUUGAUAUCAUGGGGAACACCAAAAGCGAAGGCAGUACACUGGCACAUUUCUGACACUGAGGCACGAAACCGUGGGUAGCGAAUGGG
rnacentral:rRNA from 1 species